rnacentral:rRNA from 1 species
GACGAACGCUGGCGGCGUGCUUAACACAUGCAAGUCGAACGGAUCACAUUGCUUCGGUUUUGUGGUGAGUGGCGAACGGGUGAGUAACACGUGAGUAACCUGCCCCUUCUUUGGGAUAACGUCGGGAAAUCGGCGCUAAUACUGGAUAUUCUGGUUUCCUCGCAUGGGGUUUCUGGGAAAGGUUUUCUGGUGGGGGAUGGGCUCGCGGCCUAUCAGCUUGUUGGUGGGGUGAUGGCCUACCAAGGCGGUGACGGGUAGCCGGCCUGAGAGGGUGUCCGGCCACACUGGGACUGAGACACGGCCCAGACUCCUACGGGAGGCAGCAGUGGGGAAUAUUGCACAAUGGGCGCAAGCCUGAUGCAGCGACGCCGCGUGAGGGAUGACGGCCUUCGGGUUGUAAACCUCUUUCAGUACAGAACAAGGCCUUCGGGUUGAGGGUAUGUGCAGAAGAAGCGCCGGCUAACUACGUG